rnacentral:rRNA from 1 species
GUACACUCCUGCGGGAGGCAGCAGUGGGGAAUUUUGGACAAUGGGCGAAAGCCUGAUCCAGCAAUGCCGCGUGAGUGAAGAAGGCCUUCGGGUUGUAAAGCUCUUUUGUCAGGGAAGAAACGGUGAAAGCUAAUAUCUUUUGCUAAUGACGGUACCUGAAGAAUAAGCACCGGCUAACUACGUGCCAGCAGCCGCGGUAAUACGUAGGGUGCAAGCGUUAAUCGGAAUUACUGGGCGUAAAGCGUGCGCAGGCGGUUUUGUAAGUCUGAUGUGAAAUCCCCGGGCUCAACCUGGGAAUUGCAUUGGAGACUGCAAGGCUAGAAUCUGGCAGAGGGGGGUAGAAUUCCACGUGUAGCAGUGAAAUGCGUAGAUAUGUGGAGGAACACCGAUGGCGAAGGCAGCCCCCUGGGUCAAGAUUGACGCUCAUGCACGAAAGCGUGGGGAGCAAACAGGAUUAGAUACCCUUGUAGUCCCAUG